rnacentral:rRNA from 1 species
GAUGAACGCUGGCGGCGUGCCUAAUACAUGCAAGUCGAGCGAACAGACGAGGAGCUUGCUCCUCUGACGUUAGCGGCGGACGGGUGAGUAACACGUGGAUAACCUACCUAUAAGACUGGGAUAACUUCGGGAAACCGGAGCUAAUACCGGAUAAUAUAUUGAACCGCAUGGGUCAAUAGUGAAAGACGGUUUUGCUGUCACUUAUAGAUGGAUCCGCGCCGCAUUAGCUGGUUGGUAAGGUAACGGCUUACCAAGGCAACGAUGCGUAGCCGACCUGAGAGGGUGAUCGGCCACCCUGGAACUGGGCCACGGUCCAGGCGCCUACGGGAGGCAGCAGUAGGGAAUCUUCCGCAACGGGCGAAAGCCUUACGGAGCAACGCCGCGUGAGUGAUGACGGUCUUCGGAUCGUAAAACUCUGUUAUUAGGGAAGAACAAAUGUGUAAGUAACUAUGCACGUCUUGACGGUACCUGAUCAGAAAGCCACGGCUAACUACGUG